GGUCUUGGCCCGCUCCCCUGAAAUGCAUUUGUGAUCGUGUUGCCCUUGUGAGUUGGCCCGACCAGGCGUGAUAGUAAUGAAGUUCGUCUGGGAUCCUCCGUGAGGGGGAGCCGCUCCUGUCGGGUUGUUAUCGAGAUCGCAUUCAUCUAUUAAUCUUUGGUUUAGACCUCAGAUCAGGCAGGACUACCCGCUGAACUUAA
rnacentral:misc_RNA from 1 species